GAACCAGCUGUGUGACAUUCAUGGCCAGGACACUAACUUCUGGAAAGUGCAGCCUCUGAGAGAUCAUGGACUUCUCCCAGCAAGAGUCCCGGAAGCCCCGUGCUCCAUGGAAGUCAUCCUCCGGAUUGCUCCUCGACCCGGGCAGGUGGGGUGCGGACUGGAACUAUUCAGACCCGGGCAGGCAGGGUGCAGACUGGAACUAUCCAGACCUGAGAAGGUGCCGAUUGAAUACAACCAGGAUGCCAAUGGUCCAGUCAUGCCAGCCUUUGGACACCAAGUCUGCAACUUCCUGGUGACAGCCAACUGACCAGGACCCUGUAA